CCUACGGGAGGCUGCAGUAGGGAAUUUUCGGCAAUGGGGGGAACCCUGACCGAGCAACGCCGCGUGAACGAAGAAGUUAUUCGUAAUGUAAAGUUCUUUUAACAGGGAAGAAAGAGAAAUUUGACGGUACCUGAAGCAUAAGCUCCGGCUAACUACGUGCCAGCAGCCGCGGUAAUACGUAGGGAGCGAGCGUUAUCUGGAAUUAUGGGGGGAAAAGGGUACGUAGAGGGAAUAGUAAGUCUUUUGUAAAAAUGCUGGGCUCAACCCAGUAGGGCAAAAGAUACUGCAAAGCUAGAGUAUAACAGAGAAAAGUGGAACUACAGGUGUAGCGGUAAAAUGCGUAAAGAUAUGGAAGAACACCAGUGGCGAAGGCGGCUUGCUGGGUGGAUACUGACAUUGAGGCGCGAAAGCGUGGGGAGCAAACAGGAUUAGAUACCCGUGUAGUC
rnacentral:rRNA from 1 species